UAGACGCCAAAGAACAGGCCGCGCCCUUAUCUGAAUGCCCAUAUCAGAAAGAAAUGAAAUCCAAAGAAAAAAAAAGUGUCACCUAUCAAAACCUUGAGAGAUGGAAAGUUUAUCAGCCAUGCCGCGUUUCUUUUACCCUCCUACAACCAAAUCACGUCAUUCAAAAGGUGGGUCAGUGAGUUUGCCUUCCAUUUCAACUAAUGUUAAAGGGGCCUCUUCUCAGUAGCAGACACGAAGACUCCUGAUGUUAACAUUGCUGGGUGGUCUCACUUUUUCUACGGUGGAUUGUAAACCUGCGCAAGCUUUUUCAUUUGGCAUUUCAGGACCUAAGGAAUGGUUGAAAGCACAGAAAAGGAGGACAGCAGAAUUUUUUAUGGCACCUAUUGUUGCAUCACGUGACAGACUCAGUAGCGCUUAUAAUUUUCUAAGUACCUCCUCCUCAAUGAAUUUAUGAGACGGGAGAUUACAUCAAAUAAAGACUAUGAAGAAGCUGAAAGGCUUGUCAAAGUUGCUGCGCGAGAUUGCAUUCCACCAGAAGAAGGUUCAUUUGUUGCCUUUCAAGCUAGAUCAGGUGUUGAGUUAUUUCAUUAGGCUGACCUUGCCUAAGUUUGGCAGUGUGGAGUAGUAUAAAUUUAUGCUGUUGGGAGGUAUCACAUGUUUUUGAAAUCCAAACGCACUGUCUGCUUCUAAGAUGAAAAGUUGGUUUUGAGUGGGACGUCACCCAUGCUCAUAAUUUCUUCAAACACCACAGACCUGAUCCAUGCAUCAGGGCAUGAACUAUAGCAAAAGCAGACGACAAAGGAAAUUGCAUUUAGCUGGGCAAGCCUUGCCAUUCAUAUCCAGGUCACUAGUCUUCACUUAGGGUGUAUCAACACUGAAGCGUAUCACUCAGGAAGGACCAUUAUCGCUGGGAACUGAGUGUCUUCAUUAAGUGCAUUGCAUCGCCUAUCCCUGUGUCAGACAACAGAUUCAGUGGCUGCUUAUUGUGCCACUUUCCAAGGCACUAUUUAUCAUUGAUAUCAGCACCAGGGGGACACAGCGAUUUCACAAGUCGGGUCUGAUUAAUGGGUAUGAAUUCUUGGCUGCCAAUUAGUUAGAUUUGUAUAUCUGAAUUUAUUGAUUAUAAACUGGGACAAGAGUAUUCUGGUAAUUUGUAUUUUGUAGAUCUUCUGAGUGAUUAUCUCUAUUAAUGAAGUAUAAUAGCUGUUAUUCAUUGUGAAUUGAUCCCUGCAUCU